rnacentral:tRNA from 1 species
GUAAUGGUGGUUCAGUGGUAGAACUCUUGCCUUCGAUGUGGGAGACCUGGGUUCUAUUCCCAGUCAGUGCA